GCGGAGGAGAGGAGACGGAAAGAGCCGAACACAGCUGAGACUAACUCGAGACUGAAAGAGCCGAAGGAGGAUCUAGGUCACUGAAGCAACGUGAAGCGGAUCAAAGACCCACCUAAAGAACCAAGGGUGGUCGUGGGGGUGGGACUAGAGAAGGCACGGAGAGCCGGAAAUAGCCGAAGCGCUUCGGGAUUGGAGAACCCCGGGGAUUUGCGAUAAUCCGGAAAAAGCCGAAGUCAGUGAAGGGAUCCCGGGAGGAGGCGGAAGUAGCCGAAAUAAAUUGAGCCGAGCGAAUAGGAAUUAGCGAAUAAGCUGAACGGGUGGGGCUAGAAAGGCGAUUAAUUAACUCAAGGGUAAAUGACUUUCAGGAACUCGCCCCAAAGCAAGCGAGAAGAGCCGAAAAUUGCUAGCUUGAAGGAAGGCGGGAAGAGCCAAAAGUUUUAGGUGGGAGAAUAAUGGGAGGGAAAAAAAUUUAACCGAAAGCCGGAGACCGGUCCCAGGAGUCGGACGUUUCCGAAGAGGGGCUGGAACAGAGGCGGCCCGGAGAUGACGUCACUACAUAACUCAGCCAGUGGCGUCAUCCUUGGAGGCGAGAAGGGCGGGGCCGCACUGUGAGGGCGAAGUGGAAAUCUUGACCGAGUUUUUAAAACACAAAAAAUUUUGAAGUUCACCUCCUGCCCAAGUUGAUGUUCCUACUUUAUAGAUAAAGACUGAACGCGAAGGCUGGAGGCUCAGUUGGGUUAAGAGCAUGUGUUUGGAGCCAGGAUUUGCGGAAAAGUUGAAGUUGGCGGUGCUAGCCUCUAAGCAUACAGGAAACCCAAAGCUUCAUCCGCAGCACCUUAUAGAAUCGGUUGCGGUGGCCCCAGCAGCACUCAGUGUAAAGGCAGAACAAUGAGAAACUCAAGAUCAUCCUGACCCGCACGGCGGAUAAACCGACUGCCGAAAGAUACCACAUUCUCUAACCUCAUGCAAGAAUAAAGGGAAAGACGGGAUCAUGGUGCAGGCAGUGACAAGGAAGGAGAAGGGAGUUGGAGCCUUCUGACAAGAGAGGAAAAAAAAUUCUCAUCUGAGAUGCAGGAGUGGAGGUGUUAUGAAAUAAAAUGCUGUGAGUGGUUAUCAUGGUGGGCCCAUGCAAAGGGAAGAAAUACACCAAAGAACUUCUGGAGGUGUUCUGGAUGCUUCCUGCAGCCUCUGCAGACUCAUGCUGAUCGGUUUCUUCUGGAUUGAGCUGCUGCUGCUGCUGAUUCGAGUGGAUUGAACUAUUGGCAUCAAAGAUUGGAAUCAUCCCAAGGAACAGCUAAACAGGUCCAUGUCCCCCUUGUCCUGCUAGCCAUAUUUCUCCCCUACCUUUGGUCUGUGUGCUAUAAGAGAGUUUGAAGUGUUUAAGAACUCCUAUUAAAGUAGGUUUUGAAAAAUA